rnacentral:rRNA from 1 species
CGGAACGGGUGAGUAACACGUGGGGCAACCCUGCCCAAAAGAGGGGGAUAACACUUGGAAACAGGUGCUAAUACCGCAUAACCAUAGUUACCGCAUGGUAACUAUGUAAAAGGUGGCUAUGCUACCGCUUUUGGAUGGGCCCGCGGCGCAUUAGCUAGUUGGUGGGGUAAAGGCUUACCAAGGCAAUGAUGCGUAGCCGAACUGAGAGGUUGAUCGGCCACAUUGGGACUGAGACACGGCCCAAACUCCUACGGGAGGCAGCAG